rnacentral:rRNA from 1 species
CCAACCGGGAUUGCCUUAGUAACGGCGAGUGAAGCGGCAAAAGCUCAAAUUUGAAAUCUGGUACCUUCGGUGCCCGAGUUGUAAUUUGGAGAGGGCAACUUUGGGGCCGUUCCUUGUCUAUGUUCCUUGGAACAGGACGUCAUAGAGGGUGAGAAUCCCGUGUGGCGAGGAGUGCGGUUCUUUGUAAAGUGCCCUCGAAGAGUCGAGUUGUUUGGGAAUGCAGCUCUAAGUGGGUGGUAAAUUCCAUCUAAAGCUAAAUAUUGGCGAGAGACCGAUAGCGAACAAGUACAGUGAUGGAAAGAUGAAAAGAACUUUGAAAAGAGAGUGAAAAAGUACGUGAAAUUGUUGAAAGGGAAGGGCAUUUGAUCAGACAUGGUGUUUUGUGCCCUCUGCUCCUUGUGGGUAGGGGAAUCUCGCAUUUCACUGGGCCAGCAUCAGUUUUGGUGGCAGGAUAAAUCCAUAGGAAUGUAGCUUGCCUCGGUAAGUAUUAUAGCCUGUUGGGAAUACUGCCAGUUGGAACUGAGGACUGCAACGUAAGUCAAGGAUGCUGGCAUAAUGGUUAUAUGCCGCCCGUUGGAAAAACACGAACCC